rnacentral:miRNA from 1 species
AGGGGAGGGAGGAAAAGAGGAACAGGGAAACACUGGGGAAUGACAUUGACCAAAUUAUAUGGUAUAUUGUGUGAACGUAAAUAUUACCAUUAUGUACAACUAUAAUGCACCAACAAAAAAAUGUGAAAAAAGAUUUUUUUGUUGGUGCAUUAUAGUUGUACAUAAUGGUAAUAUUUACGUUCACACAAUAUACCAUAUAAUUUGGUCAAUGUCAUUCCCCAGUGUUUCCCUGUUCCUCUUUUCCUCCCUCCCCUGAU